AUUGAACGCUGGCGGCAUGCUUUACACAUGCAAGUCGAACGGCAGCACAGGGAGCUUGCUCCUGGGUGGCGAGGGGCGAACGGGUGAGUAAUGUAUCGGAACGUGCCUGGUAGUGGGGGGUAACUACUCGAAAGAGUGGCUAAUACCGCAUGAGAUCUUUGGAUGAAAGCGGGGGACCUUCGGGCCUCGUGCUACUGGAGCGGCCGAUAUCGGAUUAGGUUGUUGGUGGGGUAAAGGCCUACCAAGCCUGCGAUCUGUAGCUGGUCUGAGAGGACGACCAGCCACACUGGGACUGAGACACGGCCCAGACUCCUACGGGAGGCAGCAGUGGGGAAUUUUGGACAAUGGGCGCAAGCCUGAUCCAGCAAUGCCGCGUGCAGGACGAAGGCCUUCGGGUUGUAAACUGCUUUUGUACAGAACGAAAAGUCUCUGGCUAAUAUCUAGAGAUCAUGACGGUACUGGAAGAAUAAGCACCGGCUAACUCCGUG
rnacentral:rRNA from 1 species